UACGUAGGUGGCAAGCGUUGUCCGGAUUUACUGGGCGUAAAGAGCGCGCAGGCGGUCGUUCAAGUCGCGUGUGAAAGCCCCCGGCUCAACUGGGGAGGGUCACGCGAUACUGAUCGACUCGAAGGCAGGAGAGGGUAGUGGAAUUCCCGGUGUAGUGGUGAAAUGCGUAGAUAUCGGGAGGAACACCAGUGGCGAAGGCGGCUACCUGGCACAUAACUGACGCUGAUACGCGAAAGCGUGGGGAGCGAACCGG
rnacentral:rRNA from 1 species